AUUACCUGAAGAGCUUGCUGAAAUGCGUAUUCCUGGAACCCGAUCCCAGACUUGCGUCAGUAAGUCCAAGAGGCAUCCAAGACCAACGAAAGGACAAAGACUAUACUAUCUGGGAGACUGUAGCAGGAACCAGGGGAACACACCAGUCAGCAUGCCCCAACAUACAAGUCUACCCCUGGGACUGCUGGCGCGGGGAGAUGUGUCAAGCUGGUGCAGGCUGCAGAGAGCAUGCCUCGCCCCACCAGGCCUUUGGGGAAGAUGGCCUCCCCCCACCAUCGUCUGUGAACCUCAUCUCCAAGCUUAGAGCUUCCUCCCCAGGUGGGGUUGCCCCCUCUCUGAGCUCCAAUUUCCCCAUCAGCCUGGAGCCGUAUAUCUUCUCCUCCUUUCUCCUGGCUGCUUUAUAGCUUGCUGGAAACACCUUCCCUUAGCACUUCGAAAUGUAUCACUUGAAAGCAUCUUAAAGUUAACCAAUGUGAUUCUUUUUUAAUUUGAAGGGGCUUAUUUCUCCGAAUGGCUUUCCUGAUCAUAUAGGAGGGCAUGCUCCCUAAUAUUAAACUUUUUCUUUAUAAAGAGCAAAAAA